rnacentral:rRNA from 1 species
GACGUAGGGCGCAAGCGUUGUCCAGAAUUAUUGGGCGUAAAGAGCUCGUAGGCGGCUUGUCACGUCGAUUGUGAAAGCCCGAGGCUUAACCUCGGGUCUGCAGUCGAUACGGGCUAGCUAGAGUGUGGUAGGGGAGAUCGGAAUUCCUGGUGUAGCGGUGAAAUGCGCAGAUAUCAGGAGGAACACCGGUGGCGAAGGCGGAUCUCUGGGCCAUUACUGACGCUGAGGAGCGAAAGCGUGGGGAGCGAACAGG